UCGACUGCAGUUACUGCACUUUCAAAACUCAAUUGAAAAAGUGUCCGGGGUGACUGUUUUGAGUUGGCUGUCCUCUCCAAUGAUGAAUGCGCGAAAGUUGCGCUGAUUCAACUGGGCGUGUGUCUUUUCCCAUGUCUCAACAAGGCAUUGUUCUAGUUUCGGCACGGCUGCAUUUACUUUCAAUUCUCACGGAAGACAAGCCAUACAAUGAGUGACUGCUCUUCAUAAACAUUCUCGCUGCCUAGUUGACAUUUACAUGAUUAUUUAAAUGGAACAUUUGACCACACCGACGCCACGGCAGGUUAAGUGGGGAAUCCCACCCAGACCAACCCCUUUCCCCCCUGACAAGAGACUGAAAGAUGGAAUGUAGCACAACACCUUCAGUGUAGCCUUAGAGAGUAUGGUUGACUUUACACUGACAUAUUUCAUACUUAUGCGUUGAUUGUCAACUCUUCUGCAAUACGAUUUUCCAGUCACGUCUCGUACAAUAUCUGUAACUCACUGAAUAAAUACUGUAAGCAAAUUCC